UACGUAGGAGGCAAGCGUUGUCCGGAAUUACUGGGUGUAAAGCGCGUGUAGGCGGCAGGCCAAGUCUGUGGUGAAAUCGCUCGGCUCAACUGGGCGGGGUCCAUGGAAACUGGUCAGCUGGAGGACGGUAGAGGUGAGUGGAAUUCCCGGUGUAGUGGUGAAAUGCGUAGAGAUCGGGAGGAACACCCGUGGCGAAGGCGGCCACCUGGGCCGACCCUGACGCUGAGGCGCGAAGGCGUGGGGAGCGAACAGG
rnacentral:rRNA from 1 species